rnacentral:rRNA from 1 species
AAUACAUGCAAGUAGAACGCUGAAGAGAGGAGCUUGCUCUUCUUGGAUGAGUUGCGAACGGGUGAGUAACGCGUAGGUAACCUGCCUUGUAGCGGGGGAUAACUACUGGAAACGAUAGCUAAUACCGCAUAACAAUGGAUGACACAUGUCAUUUAUUUGAAAGGGGCAAUUGCUCCACUACAAGAUGGACCUGCGUUGUAUUAGCUAGUAGGUGAGGUAAUGGCUCACCUAGGCGACGAUACAUAGCCGACCUGAGAGGGUGAUCGGCCACACUGGGACUGAGACACGGCCCAGACUCCUACGGGAGGCAGCAGAAGGGCGAAUUCGU